UGAGGAAUAUUGGGUCAAUGGGCGGGAGCCUGAACCAGCCAAGUCGCGUGAGGGAGGAAGGUCCUACGGAUUGUAAACCUCUUUAGCCGGGGAGCAACGUGCGCCACGCGUGGCGCAGUGAGAGUACCCGGAGAAUAAGCAUCGGCUAACUCCGUGCCAGCAGCCGCGGUAAUACGGAGGAUGCGAGCGUUAUCCGGAUUUAUUGGGUUUAAAGGGUGCGCAGGCGGCGCGAAAAGUCAGCGGUCAAAGUUCCGGGCUCAACCCGGUGACGCCGUUGAAACUUUCGGGCUGGAGUUCGUGCGAGGGAGGCGGAAUGCGUUGUGUAGCGGUGAAAUGCAUAGAUAUGA
rnacentral:rRNA from 1 species